AAAAAUAGAGUGGUAAGUUUCUUUCUAUCUAUAAUUUUUCGUUCUCUGCUUUCACAAGGCGAAAACCCUUACCAAUUGUCUUAUAUAUUGUGAUUUUUUGUAUUGAUGUAUCUAUCUAGUUUUGGUUCAUAUAGUUAUCAUAGUUAGAACCAUAUGUAUCCCUAGCUAAUCAAUUUGUCGGCAUGGUUUUUAAACAUUUCUUUUGCCCUAGGAGGGAAAAAGAGCAAUAAAAACCUUGCCUUUGCUUGAAGGGACGAAUUCAAAGCCUUUAAAAGUAUAUUUGAACUUUGAUCGAAAUUGCUAUAUCAAAUUUUGGAAAGGACCUUUUACCUAUGCACUAUUUAAUAGUAUCCAACCAUGAAUAAAGAAGUUCUCAGAUUUAUCUUUUUCCUUAUUUGUGUAGUCUCUUGGUUGCAUUUUUAUCAUUGAUAUGCUAUUUUCAACAUCAUACGGUAUGAGACUUUUAGUUGCCACAUCAAGACGGUGACUAUUGUGGCGACUUUUGGUUGCAGCUGAAGAUAUAAAUUAAAUAGUUUUGUGGCCAAAAAACCCACUCUUUAGUGGCGACUUUAUCAAAGUGUAAUUGGUCUGAUGACAUUUUCGCUUACUUUUUAAACCUUUAAGUUACAACUACUUGCUACGGUGCAAAAGUCGCCCCUGAAAACCUUUAGCGACGGCAUUUUGGGUUAUUGUAGCGAUUUCCGUUGCGACUAAAAGUGUAAUUCUUUCUAGGGUUAAAAUGUCAAAUUUAUAGAUGAUAGAAUGUUAAGUAUAUCACAACAGAGCACAAAUGUUCUUAAAUGAAAAAUCUACAUUAGAUUAAAUGUUACAUUUAUUCUGUUAUGAUUAAUGCUACAUUUACUCUGUGUGAAUGUUAAUCCUCUGCAUUGACCUCUCGGAUUCUUAUUCCAAUUAAUUGAAGACUACAUUUCUAUUGUUAAACAAGGAACUUGCUUGCUUCAUUGAAAGCGGAAGAUUUAGCAUUUAAAUGAUUUUAAAAAAAUAUUGAUUGAUUGUCCACUCUCAACUUGGGUUAGAUGACAAUAAGUUGUAGUAAUAUAAUAGAGCAGUACACUUUCAUUGAACUUAUUUAGCAUGAUCUAAUGUCUUCCUAUUUUAAGAAAAAUUCAAUCCAAUUUUUUUGAAGUCUUGUUACAUGUUCUUCAAUCGCUAAUUCAAACUCUUCAAAUGAUGUGGCUGUGCUAGGUGACUUGUCUAUGAUAGCAAAGGGUUUAUCCAUACCUAAAAGUUUUUAGUUUCUCUCUUAUUGCAUAUUCGCAUCUUGGACAGCCUUUAUCAUGCAAGUUCACUUUUUUUCUCCAAUUAACUAUUAAUCUUGUAGCGUUUUGUUUAUCCUAAAGAAUACCCCCUAUUUCUAGUUUUGUAUGAGUAGAGAAACACUAAGUUGAGC
rnacentral:lncRNA from 1 species